UAUCUGUCUCCGGGUGGGGGAUAACCGUGGGAAACUACGGCUAAUACCGCAUGAUGCCUGAGGGCCAAAGGCGCAAGCCGCCUGGAGAGGAGCCCGCGUACGAUUAGCUUGUUGGCGGGGUAAUGGCCCACCAAGGCGACGAUCGUUAGCUGGUCUGAGAGGAUGAUCAGCCACACUGGGACUGAGACACGGCCCAGACUCCUACGGGAGGCAGCAGUGGGGAAUAUUGGACAAUGGGCGCAAGCCUGAUCCAGCAAUGCCGCGUGAGU
rnacentral:rRNA from 1 species